rnacentral:lncRNA from 1 species
GUCACAAGAAAAGAUAUCCUUAAAAUUAUAUAAAUAUAAAUGAAUUAUAAAGAUGUAACUUUUACUAAUAUUUGCACUAGAAAGAGUUGGCAAUGUAUUUUCACCCGAGAGAGAGCCGGUGACGUAUUUGCGAUGGAGAGAAAGAGAGCUAGUGAUGUGUUUAUAUAGGAGAUAAAGAUCCGAUGACGUAUGUGACAAGGAGACAGAACAGGGAGGUGUUUUCGCAGAAGAGAGACGUCGAAGUUUCUUCUGAUGAGAAAUAGAGGGAGAGAGAGGAAGAAAUCUAUUUUGGCGGUGAGAG